CGGGGGAUACUGCCAGACUUGGAACCGGGAGAGGUAAGAGGUACUACAGGGGUAGGAGUGAAAUCUUGUAAUCCCUGUGGGACCACCUGUGGCGAAGGCGUCUUACCAGAACGGGUUCGACGGUGAGGGACGAAAGCUGGGGGCACGAACCGGAUUAGAUACCCGGGUAGUCCCAGCCGUAAACGAUGCUCGCUAGGUGUCAGGCAUGGCGCGACCGUGUCUGGUGCCGCAGGGAAGCCGUGAAGCGAGCCACCUGGGAAGUACGGCCGCAAGGCUGAAACUUAAAGGAAUUGGCGGGGGAGCACAACAACGGGUGGAGCCCUGCGGUUUAAUUGGACUCAACGCCGGACAACUCACCGGGGGCGACAGCAAUAUGUAGGCCAAGCUGAAGACUUUGCCUGAAUCGCUGAGUGGAGGUGCAUGG
rnacentral:rRNA from 1 species